CUAGUAACGGCGAGUGAAGCGGCAACAGCUCAAAUUUGAAAUCUGGCCUUCGGGUCCGAGUUGUAAUUUGUAGAGGAUGCUUUUGGUGCGGUACCUUCCGAGUUCCUUGGAACAGGACGCCUUAGAGGGUGAGAGCCCCGUACGGUUGGAUACCAAGCCUCUGUAAAGCUCCUUCGACGAGUCGAGUAGUUUGGGAAUGCUGCUCUAAAUGGGAGGUAAAUUUCUUCUAAAGCUAAAUACCGGCCAGAGACCGAUAGCGCACAAGUAGAGUGAUCGAAAGAUGAAAAGUACUUUGAAAAGAGGGUUAAAUAGCACGUGAAAUUGUUGAAAGGGAAGCGUUUAUGACCAGACCUUUGCCUGGCGGAUCAUCCGGUGUUCUUCACCGGUGCACUUCGCCUGGCUUAGGCCAGCAUCGAUUUUCGUUAGGGGAUAAAGACCGCGGGAACGUAGCUCUCUUCGGGGAGUGUUAUAGCCCGCGGUGUAAUACCCUUACGGGGAUCGAGGUUCGCGCUCUGCAAGGAUGCUGGCAUAAUGGUCAUCAACGACCCGUCUUGAAACACGGACCAAGGAGUCGAACAUUUAUGCGAGUGUUUGGGUGUUAAACCCUCACGCGUAAUGAAAGUGAACGGAGGUGAGAGCCCCUUUUCGGGGUGCAUCAUCGACCGAUCCUGAUGUCUUCGGAUGGAUUUGAGUAAGAGCAUAACUGUUCGGACCCGAAAGAUGGUGAACUAUGCGUGGAUAGGGUGAAGCCAGAGGAAACUCUGGUGGAGGCUCGCAGCGGUUCUGACGUGCAAAUCGAUCGUCAAAUCUGCGCAUGGGGGGCGAAAGACUUAUCGAACCAUCUAGUAGCUGG
rnacentral:rRNA from 1 species